UACGUAGGGUGCAAGCGUUAUCCGGAAUUAUUGGGCGUAAAGAGCUCGUAGGCGGUUUGUCGCGUCUGCUGUGAAAACUGGGGGCUCAACUCCCAGCCUGCAGUGGGUACGGGCAGACUAGAGUGCGGUAGGGGAGAAUUGGAAUUCCUGGUGUAGCGGUGGAAUGCGCAGAUAUCAGGAGGAACACCGAUGGCGAAGGCAGAUCUCUGGGCCGUAACUGACGCUGAGGAGCGAAAGCAUGGGGAGCGAACAGG
rnacentral:rRNA from 1 species